rnacentral:rRNA from 1 species
CCUACGGGAGGCAGCAGUGAGGAAUAUUGGUCAAUGGGCGGGAGCCUGACCCAGCAAAGUCGCGUGAGGGAAGACGGUCCUAUGGAUUGUAAACCUCUUUAGGCGGGGAGCAAUGCCGGGCACGUGUGCCCGGAGGGAGAGUACCCGCAGAAUAAGCAUCGGCUAACUCCGUGCCAGCAGCCGCGGUAAUACGGAGGAUGCGAGCGUUAUCCGGAUUUAUUGGGUUUAAAGGGUGCGUAGGCGGAUUUUUAAGUCAGCGGUAAAAGGUCGGGGCUCAACCCGGGCCGGCCGUUGAAACUGGGGAUCUUGAGUGGGCGAGAAGUAUGUGGAAUGCGUGGUGUAGCGGUGAAAUGCAUAGAUAUCACGCAGAACUCCGAUUGCGAAGGCAGCAUACCGGCGCCCGACUGACGCUGAGGCACGAAAGCGUGGGGAUCGAACAGGAUUAGAUACCCCAGUAGUC